rnacentral:rRNA from 1 species
GAUGAACGCUGGCGGCGUGCCUAAUACAUGCAAGUCGAGCGAAUGGAUUAAGAGCUUGCUCUUAUGAGGUUAGCGGCGGACGGGUGAGUAACACGUGGGUAACCUGCCCAUAAGACUGGGAUAACUCCGGGAAACCGGGGCUAAUACCGGAUAACAUUUUGAACCGCCUGGUUCGAAAUUGAAAGGCGGCUUCGGCUGUCACUUAUGGAUGGACCCGCGUCGCAUUAGCUAGUUGGUGAGGUAACGGCUCACCAAGGCAACGAUGCGUAGCCGACCUGAGAGGGUGAUCGGCCACACUGGGACUGAGACACGGCCCAGACUCCUACGGGAGGCAGCAGUAGGGAAUCUUCCGCAAUGGACGAAAGUCUGACGGAGCAACGCCGCGUGAGUGAUGAAGGCUUUCGGGUCGUAAAACUCUGUUGUUAGGGAAGAACAAGUGCUAGUUGAAUAAGCUGGCACCUUGACGGUACCUAACCAGAAAGCCACGGCUAACUACGUGCCAGCAGCCGCGGUAA